UUUCGGUUGCGGUUUCGAGAAGCCCUGUCGCGUUCUGGCCCUUGAACUGUUUUCUUGUUCUUUACUGUUUGCUGUGGGCGCGGUUGUUCGUUGGUCUGUUUCAAGAGACAUGAAGGAGCAGAUUGGAUGCAACUUCUGUAGUCAUCUUGGAAUUUGAAUGCAUCAUAGAUUGGCAUAUAAGGCAAAAAUAAUAGCUACUUCAUUCGAUGGAAGAUCCGAUCACCACCGACGACUUACUCUGACGGCACUGAUCAUCGGGAUCCAGCGGCUCACACACGUUGCUGGCGAAAGAUUGCUCGGCUUCUGAUUUCCAAGGAAGUAGCAGGGCAUGCCUCGGUACAAAGAUGAGCUUCCCGCAAUUCAUGUGUACACAGUCUGUGAUGAAUCGAGGUACCUUAUCGUGAGGAAUGUACCUGCAUUAGGAUGUGGAGAUGAGCUGUUGAAACUCUUUGCCACUUAUGGUGAUGUUGAAGACAAAAUUCUCUAGGUUUGAUCUUUGGUUGCUUCUUCAGAUGUAAACCAAUGGAUGAAGAAGACUGUGAGCCAUACACUGAUGUUUAUUGGAUCAAGUUCUGUCUCGACUGCAAUGCUACGUGAGUGGAUUUGCUUCUUCAAGUGCAGAAUUCCAGUUGUCUUCAUAUUUGUCAUGAAGUUUAUUUAUUCAGGAUAUAGAAUGGCUCUUGCAUCCUUAAUUUUACAUCCUUGUUCCACUUAAAAAAGUUGGAUGAGUAUGCCUUCUAUGGGAAUAGACUACAAGUUUCAUAUGCUUCCCACUUUGAGAGUCUCUCUGAUACAAGAGAAAAAUUAGAAGCUAGGAGAAAGGAAGUUCUUACUCGGUUGAACUGUAAGCUUUUACAGUUGAGAGCACAACCCUGAUUUUGAUCUAGGCACAAGUUUUCAUAUGAUAAAUACAUAUCGUGUCUGCUCAUAUUGCUGGAAGAUUCAAGGGUACUGCCACCUCUAGCAGUGUCGGUCAGGUAAGUUCUUCAGCUAAUGCAACUUCCUUGCAGAAUAGUGCUGUUGGCCAACAGAUCUUCAAUCAAGCGUGCAUCACCGCUCAUUCCUCAUGCUGACAGUUCUCCAUAUACAAGGGUUUCCUCGGAGCUGGAUUAUUUUCAAUCCCAUUCGAUGAAUUAGACAGUGCGAUUGGUCAGAGACAAGCUCAAUAAGAUUGAAUCAAGUGGUGAGCAUUCGCGCUCUGGACCUGCAGCGAAGAAAGCUCACAUCAACAACAGAAGGAGAAUUUAACUGUUAUCGGAACUCAGAAUUGCCCUCUGUCGAAGGAUAUCCUGAUGUUUCACACACCACUUUUAUCUCACCGGACACGACUCUAUAAAGCGAGCACGGGCUUAAACAGUCAUCCUCAAUUUGAGCAAAGUUUCAGGGCCCUUGGCUUUUGGGGCGGAUACCUGUAUCACCAACCUAUAAGCUUCAUGAACAUAUGAGCAUCGGGAAUAAAUCAGUACUAGCACAAUCCCUUCUCAGCAGAGAUUUUCUUUAAAAAUUCCAAUCCAAUCAUGAAAGACCAAAUUAAAUCGUCAGCUGGGGAAAAGCAUGGCGGUAUCACCAUCCGUUUGAAUAAUGACCGCAGACUGACUGCGGGGGAGAUCAAACUCAACCCUAUGUCAUUUCUGAACAAACGUAAUUGGAGCAGAAGUUUGAGUUGACUUCGGGCUUUCGACAUUGUGAAACAGAUGUCUUGAGAGCCUAAUCAAGUAGUUGAUUCUGUGUGUAUUUAUGUUUCUGCCGGAGUAGCUUGUUUAUAAACG